CCCGCGGCAAGACGGAAAGACCCCGUGAACCUUUACUAUAGCUUGACACUGAACAUUGAGCCUUGAUGUGUAGGAUAGGUGGGAGGCUUUGAAGUGUGGACGCCAGUCUGCAUGGAGCCGACCUUGAAAUACCACCCUUUAAUGUUUGAUGUUCUAACGUUGGCCCGUAAUCCGGGUUGCGGACAGUGUCUGGUGGGUAGUUUGACUGGGGCGGUCUCCUCCUAAAGAGUAACGGAGGAGCACGAAGGUUGGCUAAUCCUGGUCGGACAUCAGGAGGUUAGUGCAAUGGCAUAAGCCAGCUUGACUGCGAGCGUGACGGCGCGAGCAGGUGCGAAAGCAGGUCAUAGUGAUCCGGUGGUUCUGAAUGGAAGGGCCAUCGCUCAACGGAUAAAAGGUACUCCGGGGAUAACAGGCUGAUACCGCCCAAGAGUUCAUAUCGACGGCGGUGUUUGGCACCUCGAUGUCGGCUCAUCACAUCCUGGGGCUGAAGUAGGUCCCAAGGGUAUGGCUGUUCGCCAUUUAAAGUGGUACGCGAGCUGGGUUUAGAACGUCGUGAGACAGUUCGGUCCCUAUCUGCCGUGGGCGCUGGAGAACUGAGGGGGGCUGCUCCUAGUACGAGAGGACCGGAGUGGACGCAUCACUGGUGUUCGGGUUGUCAUGCCAAUGGCACUGCCCGGUAGCUAAAUGCGGAAGAGAUAAGUGCUGAAAGCAUCUAAGCACGAAACUUGC
rnacentral:rRNA from 2 species